rnacentral:rRNA from 1 species
GACGAACGCUGGCGGCGUGCUUAACACAUGCAAGUCGAACGAUGAAGCCGGAGCUUGCUCUGGUGAAUUAGUGGCGAACGGGUGAGUAACACGUGAGUAACCUGCCCUUGACUCUGGGAUAACUGCGGGAAACUGUAGCUAAUACCGGAUACGACCCUCGGAGGCAUCUCCUGGGGGUGGAAAGAAUUUCGGUCAAGGAUGGACUCGCGGCCUAUCAGCGAGUUGGUGAGGUAAAGGCUCACCAAGGCGACGACGGGUAGCCGGCCUGAGAGGGGGACCGGCCACACUGGGACUGGGACACGGACCAGACUCCUACGGGAGGCAGCAGUGGGGAAUAUUGCACAAUGGGCGCAAGCCUGAUGCAGCAACGCCGCGUGAGGGAUGACGGCCUUCGGGUUGUAAACCUCUUUUAGCAGGGAAGAAGCGAAAGUGACGGUACCUGCAGAAAGAGCACCGGCUAACUACGUGCCAGCCGCCGCCGUAA